GCCCCUGUAGCUCAGCUGGUAGAGCGGCGACCUUUUAAGUCGAUGCGCGCAGGUUCGAGUCCUGCCGGGGGCA
rnacentral:tRNA from 1 species